GAGUACUGGCUAACACAAGGGAGGAGAUGUAGAGUGUUAGGUCUAUGAAAAACAGCUUCUCUUAAUUCUCACCAAAUCCAAGAAGUGGAUAUGAUUCGUUCCAUUUUCAAGAAACGGAGACUCAGCAAAGAGCCAACCUCUUUGGAAGAAUGGCUGAUUCCAAGGCUGGAGCCAAGAAAAUACAAGUUGAACCUAGAUCAUCUGUUGUACCAAAAAGACCAGGUGACAGAAAGAACAUUAUAUGAGGAAACAUGAGCCACUUUUGGACCUGGCUUCAUUCUUAAAACUACUCGUUACACGACCUUGGCUCCAGUAAAAGGUCUUGAUCUUGAACAAACAAUGCUCGCUGCUCAUUUUGCUCAUGUUGAAACUUAAAAGAAAAAGUCCUGAUUAGAGAGCUAUCUUACCAUCCUCUCAACAACAGAGAGCAACACUGGAUUGUAAUGCACGUUCCUUCAUGGCAAAGAGAAGGGUUCCUGGUUGUUUGGUUUGUCUGUUUGUUCUCCACAGGGAAACUAGAAUCAAUACUUAUUGGCAGAUAGAAGUGGACUGUUAAUAAUUACUGCUGAAUACUAACCAAAUAUGUGGUGGUCAAAUCAUAAGAUUCACUGAGCAGCUUAUUUUGUUUUGUUUCUCAAACAAUAAACAGAUUAGAAACACGUUUUUCCAGCCAACUCUCAAAU